AUCUGUGCCCAUACUACCCUGAAUGCACCUGAUCUCACCUGAGCUCAGAAGCUAAGCAGGGUUGGCCCUGGAUGGGAGAGUAAAGU
rfam:Heterocephalus glaber contig17212, whole genome shotgun sequence.